rnacentral:precursor_RNA from 1 species
UGCCUUCACGUCUGUUGCAAUUUCUCCACUUCUUGAGCUUCCGUUUUUUACAAUUAUUGAUCCGUCAAAUAUGUGAGAUUUGCACAACUUGUUGCUCAGGUAUUUUGAAGACAAGUCCACAAGGGAACAAGUGAAGCUGCCAGCAUGAUCUAUCUUUGGUUAAGAGAUGAAUGUGGAAACAUAUUGCUUAAACCCAAGCUAGGUCAUGCUCUGACAGCCUCACUCCUUCCUGGUUUAGGACCAUUCAUUGAUGAAGCAUUCCACAUGCCGAUUGAAAGAAAAAUAAGAGUCCCGAACGCACACAGUUGACUACACGAAACCGGUGUAAGGCUCUCUGUUUUCUCCCUGCUUUGACACACUCUCCACUUUAUUUUUCUCAUGUUUUUGCGCUCUAGAUCUAUCAUAGGUGCAUCAUGUUUUAGUGUUUCAAAGAACUUAGACUGUGCAAAGCCAAACGUUUUAAUAAAAAGGAAAACAGUUUAAUACCAAAAUGGUGUCUCUCACUCAAUUACAAGACAAAGUAUACCUUUCACAAGUUUGACCAAAACGAACUACUAUAACCCUUAUUUCAAGACAGUGUACUUCUAGCAUACAUACUUAGUUUAAAAUGUACAGACGACGUAGCUUUAAAAUGUACAGACAGUGUAAUUUACCCUUGACACUGCUGUAAGUAAAUAAACCAAAAUUACACUUUACUAUUCACCAAUGGCUACCCCAAAGCUCAAAUUCACAAUUCUUUUUCCUUUAUUUUCCUAAGCCAUCAACAUAACAUUUUGAACCAAUUUAGUAGUGUCGUGUUAUGUUUCCAUAGACGUGAACUGAAAAGCCAACUUGUUGCAGCAGUUUGAAAGAACUUUGAAGCCAGUGACCAUAACCUCGUGUUCCACGACUCUUUUGAUCAGAAGCAGAAGCAUCUCUUGGUGGGGAACCAUCAAGGGUUUCAGAUUUGACCCUUUUGAUCGUUCAAGGGAGCUGGAAGUUAUCUUAUCAGACGAGUCC